AUCACCAGCACAGCCCUUUCCUUCUCCUCCCUGUCCCACAGGCCUGCUCCCAUCCUGGCAUGGCUCCUUUGGGAGGGGACACAGGUUGGUGCUAUCCUGAGCCAAGCCAAGGACUCCUCAGGAGACUGUGCCUAUGGGAAUCUGCCUAGGGGGAGGCACUUCCCAGAGCCAUCGGCCAGCAGCUGGAAGGCUGAGCAGACUGUUGUGUUAAUCACUGAACCUCCAGAGCAGGGGCACAGGAGGCACUCAAUACACAAAUGAAGAAUGAAUGAAGAAAUGAAGGAAUGACGACAAAUAUGUGUUCAAAUAUCAAAAUGUCUGGGGCUGAAUCUAAGGCCUCUAGAGAAGGUGAAACCCUAGAAGGCCUAGUACUGGGAGGCUUCCUGGAGUUGGGACAAACCUAGAGGGGUCCUGGAGAGGCAGACUCUGAAGGAAAAAGAAUUCUGUAGAAGCCCAGCAUGGCCCAAGCUUGGAGUAUGGAACAGAGGCGGCCGCUGGGGCACUGAUGACUCUUCCACCCCCAUCUCCUGUCCCUAAAACAGUGCUUUGCCUCAUUGCAGGUCUGCUAACCUGCGUGGAACACGGGGAUGGAUAAGUCCCUUGCCCUCUGAGGUCCAGUGCCCUCAUCAAUAGGGGCAGCCCAGGGAACGUCCAAAGGCACUUUCUGUGUUCACAUGUGCCACCCGCUCUCCACUCUCAGCAAAACAGGGAGAGCCGUGUUUCUACCUGCAGCAGGCAAGACUGAAGUUAGACAGGGGUGAGGGAGGAAGAGAAGCAGAGCAUUUGCCAGGCUGCGGGGCCAAGCCAGCUGGUGCCCUAGUGCCUUGGGUAGGGAGAGGAGCUGUUUCCUUAGAAGCCAGGAAAUAAAGAGAGAUGGUCCAGGUGGGGUGGGAGGGGGCUGGGGCUAUGGAAUUCCCCCUCUGCGCAAAGCCCAUCCAGCCAGUACUUGCAGUGCAGCAGCAUGGCCUGGCCUUCACCCCAGGAGACUGCUGGGCCUCUCUCCCUCCCUCCUGUGAGCUGCCUGGCUAGGGCAUCUGAGGUCCUGUAUGUGCCAGGGGAUUUUUGCUAUGGCUUGACCCAAGUUAUACAGACUCAAGUUAUACCUUCACUGCAAGGUGGGGCCCAGCAAGGAGCAGGGACACGCCCAGGCCCAGGUUCAACCAAACCAAGGCCAGGAAUUCCCCAGAGUCCCCUGACUCCUACUGCAGUGCCAUUCUCCCUGGAUCCCCUCCUCCCUCCCAGUCCACUCCUAGCCUCUCUGGCAGCCUGACUUCAGAGAGUUCCAUCCACUGAUGGUUUCUUGCACUAAUCACUGCAGUGAACUAUAGGCACAUCCUCCAUCUCAGAACCCACAGCCUUCUCCAGAACAGAUGGAAAAUUCCUGGAGGACAAGGCUGUGCCUUUCACUCAGCACUACCUGAAAGGGAAUUCUAGGGCCUGCCUCCGGCUCAAAGGCAAGCCUUCCUGAAAAGACAGGGCUUCCCUCAGCUCAGCACAUGGUCUCCACCAUCAGACACACCAGGGCAGACAGUCACUCGGUGACAAAGCCAGGGGCCUCUCUCAACUCAGAGGCCUGUACCUGCCUCAAAUAGGACAGGCCCACUCAGUUUAGGACCGAUCCCAUGGGCCAGGGGCUUUCUUUAACCCAAGGACAAUGUCUCCCUCAUUAGUCAGUCUCCCUCAUUAGCCUCCCCCAGCUCAGGAACCUCGUAUCCUCCAUCAGACAUCCCCCAUGAUUCCAGGUGGUCAAGGCCAGGCUGUGAGUCAGCCUGGCCCCUGUGGAGCUCAGUAGAAGCCCAGAAACCAGGCUGGCUAACUGGCCACAGGGCCCAUGGUCAGCCCUGUCAUGGUCUCCUGCAGGCUCAUGUAGAAGCUUAAACUACCAGAGACAAGCUGGCCUAGAACCCCAACUCUAGGAUUCAAUUUCAGCAACUGGCUCCAACUUCCCUCUGGGCAGGAGCCAAAGCAGUGAUUAAUAAGCUCUUCCAUGGUGCAGUGUGCUGAGGGCUUCCAGCAGCUGGGGAUGACCUGAGGUUAAGGAGUCCAGGCCCCUGCCUCAAGGCUCAACCUUAUGGAGUCCAGGCAUCCCUUUCCCUGGGAGUGCUGGAGAUCAGGGCUGGGGGAUGGGGGGCUAGAUUACUAAUACCCCCAACGUCGAGUCUUAAGAAGCUCUUCCCAAGGAUUGGGCCUAAUUCUUCCCUGUUGAAAAGUCCCCAGUGAGGGAUUAUGAAUGACACCAUCCUGAACCACAGGCAGCUCCAUUUACGGUCGUAAUAAGAAUUAUAGGGUAGGAGUGGUGAUGGGAAGAAUUGUUCCUUUUGGAAGUAUAGUUUUAAAAACAAUGUAUAGGGACUUUCCAUUUAUCAUCCCAUUUGAUUAGGGCUAUCAUCCUCGAGAGUGGCAAAGAUUACUGACCCAAUCUUUCAGAUGAGGAAACUCAGGGAAGGAAAGGAACUCUACCAGACUGUACACUGGCUAGUGUGGUGGGCCGGCCUCAAGUCCAGGUUGUCUGACUUGCCAUCCAGGGCUCUCCCAGAGCCUGCCACACAGCAGGCACUCAAUCAGUGUUCAUGGGAUUGGACUCUUUAGAAAGGACUGCCUGGUCUCUUGUGGACUCUGGUGACGGGAUUGAUCCAAGCUACAUUAUUCUUAUCUCAUUGAGUCUGAGUCUUACUGUAUUGAGAAAUUGCAUGGAGGAAAUUGAAGCCCAGAGAGAAGCAAGGACCCAGAAUAAAAGCUCAGGACUCUAGAUCUCAGCCCAGAGCCCCCUCAUCUAUGCCACAGCCUAGGACUUUAACAAGUAUUUACUGAGGCCCUGUUUGCAGGCUCAUUGGUGGGUGGGAGAGGAAGAGCUCAGGCCUUGACCUUCAGAGACUCCUCACUUAGGGGAAGGGCUGGAUAAGUACAUGGCACAGAUCUGAGCUGAUACAGAAGCUCUGAGGGUUCUGAGAGCCCAAAGGAGGGAGGGAAGCAGCCUUGCUUGCUAGAGAGCCAGGCAUGCUGAAGCAAAGAGUGGCUCUUGAGCUUGACCUAGAGGGACAAGAAAGAUUUUGACAGACAGCAAUAAAAGCAGAUGUUCUGGGCAGAGA